GUCUCCCAGAACCUCUUGGUGUGUAGCUACAAGGACAUGGCCAGAAAAGGUAACUAGUCCAAGUCCAACAUCUUAUAAUACAAGUGCUUCAAUAGAAUCAGUCACCUAACAUGACAUCAACUCUGGCAAAUGAUGUUGGGAAGACAAAGGAAGAGCAAGAUUACCAGCUGAGCAUCAGCUCCACAGAGAAGCCAGCAUAGCUGCACCAGAAAUGUGAAAAGCCAGCAGGGGCUAGCUGAAGCCCAGGCCAGAGUAACUUUUUCUUUGUCUUACACCACAUCAGUUCUGUUACAGGAAGACAUGUAAAAGCUGGUAAGAAACUGAUACCCUGACAAUUCCUCUUAGGAAUACUGUCUGUCAUAGGCUAAGUCAGCCCAGGGUCCUAAACCUGCUAGUUCAGUAAUAGAUGCUGUUUUGAUAGUGUAUUAAUUACAGUACAUAAAUACCAAAUCUCUUCAAUCAGUUACCUGUGCUGACUGAGAAGGAGGAGGCCUCAGUUUCCCCAAGACAAAUGGGAGCCUGGAUUUGUUGUGCUAGGCUUCUUUGAUGGUCCCGUCUCUGGCCAGAGUGCAUAGGUGGUAGAUAACACAGUAGGUGAAUGCCAUACAUAGCUUUUCCUGCAAGCUGGCUUAGAGUCCUACUUUGAAUUUGGCUCAAGAGGAGGCACAUGGCAUAGUGAGGACUGGAAAACUGGGAAUGGAGUCAGGACACACAUCCUUCCUUGCAGCUUCAGUAAGGUGCCAGAACUAGAUGACUAACUGGUCACCUCAGGAGUGGGUAAGUAACUGAUCUUGUGGCUUACCUAUCAGAUUUGUCCUCUUUGAGCAACUUGCCAUUGUCCAGAAGUAUACUUUCUGGAAAGAGGCCACAGGUAAGAGGUCUAUUCCGGGCAUAGUGUCUGAGUCUGAGCCGGCUCUGCAGCUGCUGUGUCACAGAGCUAGUAACCAGGCACACUUGUUUGGUCUGAGAAGUGCCAUCCCUUCGCCUAUCACAAAGCUGAAGACUUGAGAUCACUAGCUGUGGAGGCAACCAGCUUGUCCACCAUAAACCCACAAGGUGUCUGUCAUAGAACUGACAGGAUGCUUCUGUCUGAAGCACAGGAAAUACUGCUGCAGGGGCUAUCUGAAGCUUGCAACGUGGAUGGACAGAGAAGCUUCUGGUCCCCGGAACCUAGCGGGCACCCCUGCAUUGGAGAACAAAUCGCUGCUCUGUGCACGGUGGACUUCUCGGCUGUGGGAGACAGAAGGUAUCACUGAUACACAAUCAUGGGUGAGGGCUUAUAGAGUUGUUUUUUGUUCAUUUAAAAUUUAUUUUUAUGUGCAUGAGUAUUUUACCUGCAUGUCUACUACCUGUGGAGGUCAGAAAGAGGGCACUGGAUCCCCUGGAACAGGGGUUAUAAAUAGUUGUAAACCACCAUGUGUGUGCUGAGAACUGAAGUUAGGUCCUGUGCAAGAGCAGCAAGGGCCAUCUCUCCAGCCCCUGUGUUGAGGGUACUUAGAAUGGCUCCCAAAUGAAUUCCAGAUACUAGGGCUCAAGGUAGAAUAGGAUUUUCAAGUUGGACAGAUGUCUUCCUUCCUGUCUUCCUUCCUUUCUUCCUUCUCUUUUGUUUUGUUUUGUUUUGUUUUUUUGAGACAGGGUUUCUCUGUGUAGCCCUAGCUGUCCUGGAACUCACUCUGUAGACCAGGCUGGCCUCAAACUCAGAAAUCCGACUGCCUCUGCCUCCCAAGUGCUGGGAUUAAAGGUGUGCACCAUCACCGCCCGGCUGAUCAGAUGUUUUUCAACUGCCCAUGUGAGGCCCCAGUUUACUCUCAGGUGAGAAUAGGGUUCCCCACAUCCUGGCUAAACAUUGUUAAUAGGCAGCUGUGCACAAUCCUUUCACAGCAGAGUGACCUUUUUCUCCCUCACAUUUUUAAUUGAAAACAUUCACAGUGUACCCAAAUCAUACCCACAUACCUAUAUGACAGUUCAGGUGGCUCCAUUUUGCUCCCUCGGUCCCUGUUCCCAGAGAACCACCUCUCUGACCACUUAGCAAACUAGUCUUCACUGUGACUUCCAGACACAGUCACGGUACUGUGACUCCUGGGUCUGGUAUUUACAAUGUACAGUACCCUCUUCAGAUGGCUCCAAUGAGACCCAUGCUAAAGCUGAGCUCAGGCUACUGCAUUUUCUCAUGUGUCUGCCAAAAGUGCGUUUGUGAGGGUGUUGCUGUGUGACAGGUGUGUGCUCCCCAGGAGUAAGAAGCUCCUCCAAAGUGGUGUUCCAGCUCCACACCUGCUAGCAAAGCCACGACCUAGGCACGGUCUGCUCACCAGUGUGGCGUCAUUUCAGCAGCCUAAAUGGAUGUGUAGUGGUUUGAAUUGAUGUGUGACUGAUGAAUGAGCUUAACUGAACAUUUCCUGUAUGCUGACAAGCUGCUGCACUUCCCUUCUGCUCAGGCUUAUCACCAAUGUAUUUUUGGCUUGUUGGCUUUUCUACCAGAAGGCAUAUUUACACCAGUAGCCAUAGCUUUUGACCUAGCCGCCGUGCUUAGAGACAUGCUUUACAGAUAACCCAGGAUCGUUGUUGGCAGCCACCAUGAGGUUCACUCACAUAUGGCAGAAGAGUGCCAUGCUCCCACCAUUUGUUAUGGGCUGUCAGUGAUGUAGGGCAAGCAUGCUCUCUGAAACGCUAUGUAGGUGACAGUGAUGCUGGUCCCUAUGAAGGUGAACGCACAAUGAACUCCUUUGGUGGCUUUUGAGUCUGAAAGCCUGUAAUAACAUUAAGCAUAAAAUAUAAGAUGGAAGAAAGUGGGAAGCAGUGCAGGCUGGUGAGAAUGCAGUAUUCCAAUAGCAUGCAAAUGGGAGAUGCCGGCUGAACACAUGUUCUAGCUCUACACAGUGAUGAAGAUGACAGCUGACCUGGAACACUGCUGGGUGACAACUAGGGCCCUGCAGAAGAUCAGGUGAGGUGUCUGGAAAGGGAGUGAUAUGCCAGGUCUGCAUCCCUAGUGGCCUUGAGUGGACCACGGCCAAGCCUUACACUCACCUUUUCUUUUUUUCCAAAGCUAGCCGCUUCUGGUUCUCCUUUCCAAUGUCAUCUCUGAUUGUGCUGAAAUCAUCAUUGUCAUCAAACAGGAGAUUCUACAUUUCAAAACAAUAAAGACCAAGGUUUUCAGUGUGGUCUACAUUUAGAACAGGCAGAUAGUAAACUAUCC
rnacentral:lncRNA from 1 species